GAUGAACGCUAGCGGCAGGCUUAAUACAUGCAAGUCGAGGGGCAGCAUGACUGUAGCAAUACAGUUGAUGGCGACCGGCAAACGGGUGCGGAACACGUACGCAACCUACCCAAAACUGAGGAAUAGCCCGGGGAAACCCGGAUUAAUACUUCGUAACAUAAUUGAAUGGCAUCAUUUAAUUAUUAUAGCUCCGGCGGUUUUGGAUGGGCGUGCGCCUGAUUAGGUAGUUGGAGGGUAACGGCCUACCAAGCCAACGAUCAGUAACUGGUGUGAGAGCACGACCAGUCACACGGGCACUGAGACACGGGCCCCGACUCCUACGGGGAGGCAGCAGUAAGGAAUAUUGGUCAAUGGACGCAAGUCUGAACCAGCCAUGCCGCGUGAAGGAUGAAGGUCCUCUGGA
rnacentral:rRNA from 1 species